CACCAGGAGUUCUCUAACCUCUCAUUGGGACCCCCCCCCAGACCUUUCACUAUUUAGUUGUAUCUCUGAAUUAUCUCACCUGAUUGACCUAUUGAAAGGGGCUUGAUGAUUCGUUGACCAGUUGAAUCAGGUGAGUUAGCUGUGGAAUAGAUAAAUACAUGGAACUGUUGGGAGUCCUGAGGUUUGGAGAACGCCUGGGGACCUGAGGAAAGGUUGGAGAACGUCUGGGGACCUGAGGAAAGGUUGGAGAACGUCUGGGGACCUGAGGAAAGGUUGGAGAACAUCUGGGGGUUCUGAGGAUAGGUUGGAGAACGUCUGGGGUCCUGAGGAGAGGUUGGAGAACGUCUGGGGUCCUGAGGAGAGGUUGGAGAAUGUCUAGGGACCCGAGGAGAGGUUGGAGAACGUCUGGAGGUCCUGAGGAGACAUUGGAGAACGUCUAGGGACCAGAGGAGAGGUUUGAGAACGUCUAGGGACCAGAGGAGACGUUGGAGAACAUCUGGGGGUCCUGAGGAGAGGUUGGAGAAAGUCUAGGGACCAGGGGAGAUGUUGGAGAACCACUGUCUUAUACAGUCUGAUGCUCUGGAUCCCUCAUUGUAGAUUUUGGUUAUAGACUUAAACACUGGUGUUGGAAAUUCAAAAUGAGAUGAAUCUGAGCCGUGUUGAGAGACAUGUAGAGAGAUGAGGUCGGCUGGCAGCAUCACAUAAAGACUUGUCUUUCUCUUGCAGACCAAAUGCUUCAUCUGCGGAAUAGGAAACGACUACUUUGACACAGUACCUCACGGCUUCGAAACCCACACACUGCAGGAGCACAACUUGGCCAACUAUCUCUUCUUUGUGAUGUAUCUCAUUAACAAAGAUGAAACAGAGCACACAGGCCAGGAGUCGUAUGUGUGGAAGAUGUACCAGGAACGGUGUUGGGAAUUCUUCCCUGCCGGAGACUGUUUCCGCAAACAAUACGAAGACCAGCUCAACUGAUUCAUGAAUCAACUGAUCAAUUCAACUGACUACUGAUCAGCUGAUCUAUUGAUCCAGAUGCAGAGACUCGUCCUUUCUUACUGAUCAAUGUGAAAGGGGCUGUUUCGUCACCUUCCUUCGUCAGCUAGCCCCCCCCCCCCCGUGCUGUUUGGAAAGCUUUCCAGACACUGUACAUAAUAAUAUAAUGACUAGUCAACUGUAUAAUGUCCUUCCUGGGUGCGUUUGGAACACAGGGCUGUGUUUUGACUUUGAGGACUUAAUGCUUCAUCUAUACAUUUGCUUUUAAUAAUUCCACAUUGAUGACAAGCGAACUAAAUGAUUGGAGGGGAGAUGGGGGGGACACUGAAGAAAAAGAGGAGAAAAAAAGGACUCAAACCAAACUGCUUUGUGGGACGUGCUUCUCCAGAGAACACAUGAAUGAAUAAAGGCAUGAAUAAAGGCUGUUGCUCGUCCUCUACGCCUCAGGAAUGACAGGAUGUACAGUACUGUACAGGAGAUGAAGGGCCAGCGGAUGGAGAGGGUGGACAGUACUGUACGGUACAUACAGGAGGCCCAGCGGAUGGAGAGGGUGGACCGAGGCGGGACAUGAUGAGGGAACAGUGCCUUACCAAGCCGGGUCUGAGCAGAGCUAUGCAAGAUGGAGGAAAGAGGAAGGAAUCAGCAACACGUCAGCACAUCAUGUGGAGACUGAUACACGGGGGCUGAUGUUUCUGACAUUAACGAUGGGAGGCUGUGUGUGUGUGUGUGUGUGGAGACUGAUACACGGGGGCUGAUGUUUCUGACGUAACGAUGGGAGGCUGUGUGUGUGUGUGUGUGUGUGUGUGUGUGUGUGUGUGUGUGUGUGUGUGGAGACUGAUACACGGGGGCUGAUGUUUCUGACGUAACGAUGGGAGGCUGUGUGUGUGUGUGUGUGUGUGUGUGUGUGUGUGUGUGUGUGUGUGUGUGUGUGUGUGUGUGUGUGUGUGUGUGUGUGUGGAGACUGAUACACGGGGGCUGAUGUUUCUGACGUAACGAUGGGAGGCUGUGUGUGUGUGUGUGUGUGUGUGUGUGUGUGUGUGUGUGUGAGUGGUGUGUCUCGGAGACAGCGUGGACGGAGUGUGUGUGUGUGUGUGUGUGUGUGUGUGUGUGUGUGUGUGUGAGUGGUGUGUCUCGGAGACAGCGUGGACGGAGUGUGUGUGUGUUGGAGAUAAGACAAGGAGGAAGGAUGAUAGAGAGUGAAGGAGGGAGGGAGGGGGAGAGAGAAAGAGAGAGAGAAGGAGGAAGGAUGAUAGA